rnacentral:rRNA from 1 species
AGCGUAGGUGGGUUGGUAAGUCAGUGGUGAAAUCUCCGAGCUUAACUUGGAAACUGCCAUUGAUACUAUCAAUCUUGAAUACUGUGGAGGUAAGCGGAAUAUAUCAUGUAGCGGUGAAAUGCUUAGAUAUGAUAUAGAACACCAAUAGCGAAGGCAGCUUACUACGCAGUUAUUGACACUGAGGCUCGAAAGCGUGGGGAUCAAACAGGAUUAGAUACCCUGGUAGUCCACGCCCUAAACUAUGGAUACUCGACAUCAGCGAUACACAGUUGGUGUCUGAGCGAAAGCAUUAAGUAUCCCACCUGGGAAGUACGUCCGCAAGGAUGAA